GUCCCCUUCGUCUAGUGGCCUAGGACACCCGCCCUUUCACGGCGGUAACCAGGGGUUCGAGUCCCCUAGGGGACGCCA
rnacentral:tRNA from 1 species